AUUGAACGCUGGCGGCAGGCCUAACACAUGCAAGUCGAGCGGAUGAAGGGAGCUUGCUCCUGGAUUCAGCGGCGGACGGGUGAGUAAUGCCUAGGAAUCUGCCUGGUAGUGGGGGAUAACGUCCGGAAACGGGCGCUAAUACCGCAUACGUCCUGAGGGAGAAAGUGGGGGAUCUUCGGACCUCACGCUAUCAGAUGAGCCUAGGUCGGAUUAGCUAGUUGGUGGGGUAAAGGCCUACCAAGGCGACGAUCCGUAACUGGUCUGAGAGGAUGAUCAGUCACACUGGAACUGAGACACGGUCCAGACGCCUACGGGAGGCAGCAGUGGGGAAUAUUGGACAAUGGGCGAAAGCCUGAUCCAGCCAUGCCGCGUGCGUGAAGAAGGUCUUCGGAUUGUAAAGCACUUUAAGUUGGGAGGAAGGGCAGUAAGUUAAUACCUUGCUGUUUUGACGUUACCAACAGAAUAAGCACCGGCUAACUUCGUG
rnacentral:rRNA from 1 species